UUUCCGUAGCCUAUUGAAGCCUGACACGGCGACUUAAAAAAUAAUCGUGGAGUCUACAUUAAACAAGAUUUAAGUGGGCGAUGCCAAAGAAGUGCUGGAAAUCUUUAACAGGAACGCCAGCAGCCAUCCGGGCCCGUUCAUCCGGGCUGAUGGUUCACAGAUCAAGCAGUGGCAGUCAUGAGCCGAGUAGUCACCGAACUGCUUAAACUUGUGAUGAAGAUAUGACCGGUCAGUGGCUGAACAAGCCAGCUGAGAAACGUUUCGUAGGUGAACCUGCGGAAGGAUCAUUAAAGAGUGAGGGUCUCCGGGCCCGUACUCCAACCCUUUGUUUAAUUACCAUGUUGCUUUGGCGGGCCCGUCUCACGACCGCCGGAAGUUUGGUCUCAACCAGACUUCUGGCCCGUGCCCGUCAGUGGCCCCUUCAAAUUCUUGAUUAAAUAUGAUGUCUUAGUUAUAACCUUAAUAGUUAAAAACUUUCAACAACGGAUCUCUUGGUUCUG
rnacentral:misc_RNA from 1 species